rnacentral:rRNA from 1 species
UACAGAGGUCCCAAGCGUUGUUCGGAUUCAUUGGGCGUAAAGGGGGUGUAGGUGGCGCCGUAAGUCGGGUGUGAAAUUUCGGAGCUUAACUCCGAAACUGCAUUCGAUACUGCGGUGCUUGAGGACUGGAGAGGAGACUGGAAUUCAUGGUGUAGCAGUGAAAUGCGUAGAGAUCAUGAGGAAGACCAGUGGCGAAGGCGGGUCUCUGGACAGUUCCUGACACUGAGACACGAAGGCCAGGGGAGCAAACGGG